rnacentral:rRNA from 1 species
UCGCCUGUUUAACAAAAACAUGUCCUUUUGGUAUUUAUUUAAGGUCUAACCUGCCCAAUGAUUUUUUAAUGGCCGCGGUAAUUUGACCGUGCAAAGGUAGCAUAAUCACUUGUCUCUUAAUUGGAGGCUAGAAUGAAUGGUUGGACGAGAUAUAUACUUUCUUUUUUGUAUUCUAUUGAAUUUAAUUUUUGAGUUAAAAAGCUUAAAUUUUUUUAUAGGACGAGAAGACCCUGUAGAAUUUCAUAUUAAUUCAAUUUUAGUUCUUUUUGUUUUUUUAUUAUUGGUUCUUUUUUUGUUUUAAUAUUUUGUUGGGGCGACAGGAAGAUUUUUUUAACUCUUUUUUAUUUAUUCAUUGAUUUAUGUUUUGUUUUGAUCCUUUAUUAAAGAUUAUAAGAUUAAAUUACCUCAGGGAUAACAGCGUAAUCCUUUUGGAGAGCUCUUAUCGAUAAAAGGGUUUGCGACCUCGAUGUGGAUUAAAA